rnacentral:rRNA from 1 species
UGGCGGCGUGCCUAAUAUGCAAGUCCAGCGGACAGAUGGGAGCUUGCUCCCUGAUGUUAGCGCGGACGGGUGAGUAACACGUGGGUAACCUGCCUGUAAGACUGGGAUAACUCCGGGAAACCGGGGCUAAUACCGGAUGGUUGUUUGAACCGCAUGGUUCAGACAUAAAAGGUGGCUUCGGCUACCACUUACAGAUGGACCCGCGGCGCAUUAGCUAGUUGGUGAGGUAACGGCUCACCAAGGCAACGAUGCGUAGCCGACCUGAGAGGGUGAUCGGCCACACUGGGACUGAGACACGGCCCAGACUCCUACGGGAGGCAGCAGUAGGGAAUCUUCCGCAAUGGACGAAAGUCUGACGGAGCAACGCCGCGUGAGUGAUGAAGGUUUUCGGAUCGUAAAGCUCUGUUGUUAGGGAAGAACAAGUGCCGUUCAAAUAGGGCGGCACCUUGACGGUACCUAACCAGAAAGCCACGGCUAACUACGUGCCAGCAGCCGCGGUAAUACGUAGGUGGCAAGCGUUGUCCGGAAUUAUUGGGCGUAAAGGGCUCGCAGGCGGUUUCUUAAGUCUGAUGUGAAAGCCCCCGGCUCAACCGGGGAGGGUCAUUGGAAACUGGGGAACUUGAGUGCAAAAGAAGUGGAAUUCCACGUGUACGGUGAAAUGCGUAAAGAUGUGGAGAAC